AUUGAACGCUGGCGGCAGGCUUAACACAUGCAAGUCGAGCGGAGUGAUGGUGCUUGCACUAUCACUUAGCGGCGGACGGGUGAGUAAUGCUUAGGAAUCUGCCUAUUAGUGGGGGACAACAUCUCGAAAGGGAUGCUAAUACCGCAUACGUCCUACGGGAGAAAGCAGGGGAUCACUUGUGACCUUGCGCUAAUAGAUGAGCCUAAGUCGGAUUAGCUAGUUGGUGGGGUAAAGGCCUACCAAGGCGACGAUCUGUAGCGGGUCUGAGAGGAUGAGCCGCCACACUGGGACUGAGACACGGCCCAGACUCCUACGGGAGGCAGCAGUGGGGAAUAUUGGACAAUGGGGGGAACCCUGAUCCAGCCAUGCCGCGUGUGUGAAGAAGGCCUUAUGGUUGUAAAGCACUUUAAGCGAGGAGGAGGCUCUUUUGGUUAAUACCCAGAAUGAGUGGACGUUACUCGCAGAAUAAGCACCGGCUAACUCUGUGCCAGCCGCCGCCGUAAAAC
rnacentral:rRNA from 1 species